GACGGAGGAUGCAAGUGUUAUCCGGAAUCACUGGGCGUAAAGGGUCUGUAGGUGGUUUUUUAAGUCUGCUGUUAAAGCUUGAAGCUCAACUUCAAAAAUGCAUCGGAAACUAGAAGACUUGAGUAUGGUAGGGGUAGAGGGAAUUUCCAGUGAAGUGGUGAAAUGCGUAGAUAUUGGAAAGACCACCAAAGGCGAAGGCACUCUACUGGGCCACAACUGACACUGAGAGACGAAAGCUAGGGGAGCGA
rnacentral:rRNA from 1 species